CUUUCACAAGUGGUUUACCAACCGUCCAAAGGACGCUUUGCGUAACAGUAGCCGCCUGGAUUUUUGAAAUCCAAAACGUUUAAACGCAAAAUUGCAGAGGAUUUUCAAAAUGGCGUCCGUGCAUCCAGGUGCUGAUCCAACGCAGGGACAGAAAGAGCCGCAGGUGAUGAUGGGACAGUUCGCUCCUGGCCCUGCCUUUCCCGCUGCUAUGCCCAUGCAGCCACAGGUCAUUACCCAGCAGCCUGUGGGGUACGUGGCUACCGCCGGCCCACAGACACGUGACUGGAGCAGUAGUCUGCUGGGCGACUGGUGCAAAGAUCCCACC